AUACGAAGGGUGCAAGCGUUAAUCGGAAUUACUGGGCGUAAAGCGCGCGUAGGUGGUUCGUUAAGUUGGAUGUGAAAGCCCCGGGCUCAACCUGGGAACUGCAUCCAAAACUGGCGAGCUAGAGUAUAGCAGAGGGUGGUGGAAUUUCCUGUGUAGCGGUGAAAUGCGUAGAUAUAGGAAGGAACACCAGUGGCGAAGGCGACUACCGGGACGGAUACUGACACUGAGGGGCGAAAGCGUGGGGAGCAAACAGGAUUAGAUCCCCUGGUAUGCCACGCCGUAAACGAUGUCAACUAGCCGUUGGGAUCCUUGAGAUCUUAGUGGCGCAGCUAACGCAUUAAGUUGACCGCCUGGGGAGUACGGCCGCAAGGUUAAAACUCAAAUGAAUUGGCGGGG
rnacentral:rRNA from 1 species